AAUAAUUCAAUAUGCAAAAAUUGGAGUGUUGAAAUUUCAGGGUUAAAAAUUUCCGAGUUGAUUUUCACUCCCAGAGUGUAAUUUUAACACAUUCUGAUUUAAAUGGUGUUCAGUGUUAUUUGGUUAUUUGGCAGAGUUGAUCAUGUCAGUGUUAACCCAACUCCGCAGAGAUGUAAUUAAGCUCCGCCCAUGCCUUUCACCUCUUCGGUUAGAGACAGAGAAGACAAGUCUGCACCAUUUUCUACCUCUCAUGCAGUACUACACGUCAAAAUGCUGGUCCAGGUGAAGUACAGCCAACAGCAGAAGUAUGUAAAGUUGGAUGAGGAUGAAGGACUGUUUGACUUUCUGCAAUUCCAUGAAAAAGUCAUGGAGAGAUUUGGCCUGCCACCUGAUGCAAAUGUUAUAUACAAAGGAUGCAACAGGGACAGAAGUUGAUGCAGAAAUAUUCAGCGACCUCGUUGGACAAGGCAAUGUGGUCCUGACAGUUUUCUCAGAUCAGGGUGAGAUAUCAAGGCAGACGUCUGACUCAAGCUUCAGCUCAAGUGCAUCAACUAUAAUCCUAGAUGUUCCUAACAAGAGACAAAGAAUUGAGGAUACACGUGAUGCUGUGUCUGCUAAACAGUUGAUAGAAGCUGUGCUAAGAGGCAAGUCUGGAGGUGAAGAAGUACUACAGAAGUACCAAACAACAGAAACCCUAACAGAUGCUGCAAGAAGACAAAUGGUUAAUUUCCUGGUGGCUCACAUGAUUGACAAUCAUGGGCACUGCCCCACUAAAACAAUCAGAGAAGAUUAUGCACGUGGGAUAGUGAUGCUGUUCCCUUCCCUUAAGGAUCCAUACUCCAAGAAGGGCUAUGAACACUUCUAUGAUGCUGCAAGCAGCACAGGAUACAUUUCUUGGCGUCUGAAAACAGUCCAGAGGAAGAUUCGUCAAGGAUCUGCACAGCCACUCUUUCAUCUCCUUCCACCACCUCCAGGGGGACUGAAGUCUCCAAAAAUUAGUGCAUGUGAUGCAGUUGAAAGACUUGUUGUAUUUCAUAAGUCAUGCUGCAGUUUGGAGGAGCAUCUCCGCAACCAGCAGGGUCGGCAGCCGUACCUCCUCGCUGUUGGGCGUCAGAAGAGCAAGAUUGACAGCCUCUACAUCACCAUGGAUAAGCGUCUCAUCCCAUGCAAGGCAAACCGCUUCCUCGGGGCAUGUGAUGAACUUUUCAAAGCACAUUUUGUGUUUAAUUUGUCUUACGAUGUGGCACUUGUGAAUUUUUAUACAUUCCUGCAGACAACAGUGUAUAACAUUGAUGUGGGGAAAAUGAAGGAGUCACCCAGAGUUAAAGACUUGAGAGCAAGACUGCUUAACCAGCCAGUAGCAUUCUCACCCUGUGAGUAAGAAGCUAUAACAAUGCUGACCUGUUUCAUGUGUUGAAAAACAAGCUAUUUACAGAGAAUUUUCAUGACCAUCAUCAUGCAUUCAGAGUAUUACAAAAUGCGGAAAGAUGUUUACUAAAAAUGUCUGCGCUUAAAUUUCAUAAACCGUUUCAUAUUCAAAGCUCAUACAAUGUUUUGGAUGGAAGUUUGUACAUUAUACCUUCAUUCACAAUGUUUUAAUUCAACUGACUGCAAGGGAGAAAAGGAAUAAAUGUUUUUGAAAAUGUUUUUGUUUAUUGUGAUGAAUUCUUAUUAAUUAUUAAGUAUAUAUUUAAUUAAUACAUUUAAAAUGAAUUAACAUUUUUUCAGUGUAGAUAAUUGACACAUUAGGG
ensembl:lncRNA